GAAACGACUGCUAAGACUGGAUAGGAAGAUAAAAGGCAUCUUGUAUCUUUUAAAAGACCUAGUUAAUAGGUAUGCUUUAGGAGGGGCUUGCGCCAUAUUAGUUAGUUGGUAGGGUAAUGGCCUACCAAGACGAUGAUGUGUAGCUGGACUGAGAGGUUGAACAGCCACAUUGGGACUGAGACACGGCCCAAACUCCUACGGGAGGCAGCAGUAGGGAAUUUUCGGCAAUGGAGGAAACUCUGACCGAGCAACGCCGCGUGAAUGACGAAGUACUUCGGUAUGUAAAGUUCUUUUAUCGAGGAAGAAAAGCAAAUGGCGAACCAUUUGUUUGCCGGUACUUGAUGAAUAAGCCCCGGCUAAUUAUGUGCCAGCAGCCGCGGUAAGACAUAAGGGGCAAGUGUUAUCCGGAAUUAUUGGGCGUAAAGGGUGCGUAGGCGGUCUAGUAAGUCAGUGGUGUAAUGUCAACGCUUAACGUUGUCCGGCUAUUGAAACUGCUAAACUUGAGUUAGAUAGAGGCGAGUGGAAUUCCAUGUGUAGCGGUAAAAUGCGUAAAUAUAUGGAGGAACACCAGAGGCGUAGGCGGCUCGCUGGGUCUUAACUGACGCUGAGGCACGAAAGCGUGGGGAGCAAACAGGAUUAGAUACCCUGGUAGUCCACGCCGUAAACGAUGAGUACUAAGUGUCGGGUUAAACCGGUACUGAAGUUAACACAUUAAGUACUCCGCCUGAGUAGUACGUACGCAAGUAUGAAACUUAAAGGAAUUGACGGGACUCCGCACAAGCGGUGGAUCAUGUUGUUUAAUUCGAAGAUACCCGAAAAACCUUACCAGGUCUUGACAUGUUUUUGCAAAAUGAUAGUAAUAUCGUGGAGGUUACCAGAAACACAGGUGGUGCAUGGUUGUCGUCAGCUCGUGUCGUGAGAUGUUAGGUUAAGUCCUAAAACGAGCGAAACCCUUAUCGUUAGUUGCCAGCACGUUAUGGUGGGGACUUUAACGAGACUGCCAAUGAUAAAUUGGAGGAAGGUGAGGAUCACGUCAAAUCAGCAUGCCCCUUAUGACCUGGGCUACAAACGUGAUACAAUGGCUGUUACAAAGGGUAGCUGAAACGCAAGUUCUUGGCCAAUCCCCAAAAACAGUCCCAGUCCGGAUUGAAGUCUGCAACUCGACUUCAUGAAGUUGGAAUCGCUAGUAAUCGCGAAUCAGCAUGUCGCGGUGAAUACGUUCGCGGGGUUUGUACACACCGCCCGUCA
rnacentral:rRNA from 1 species